rnacentral:lncRNA from 1 species
GGACUACAAGUGCACACCACCACACCCAGCUAAUUUUUUUAUUUUUAGUAGAGACAGGGUUUUACCAUGUUGGCCAGGAUGGUCUCCAUCUCUGGACCUCAUGACCCACCUGCCUGGCCUCCCAAAGUGCUGGGAUUACAGGCAUGAGCCACUGUACCUGUCCUCUAAUUGUACAAUAUCUUACUGUUUACUCCUUCUUCUCUCUCUCUCUCUUUUUUUUUGAGACAGGGUCAAGAGAUCAAGACCAUCCUGGUCAACAAGGUGAAACCCCAUCUCUACUAAAAAUACAAAAAUUAGCUGGGCAUGGUGGCACACGCCUGUAGUCCCAGCUACUCAGGAGGCUGAGGCAGGAGAAUUGCUCAAACCCAGGAGGCGGAGGUUGUGGUGAGCCGAGAUCAUGCCAUUGCACACCAGUCUGGGUAACAACAGCGAAACUCCGUCUCAAAAAUAAAUAAAUAAAUAAAAAGGGAAAGAUUGGCUGAGCAUGGUGGCUCGCGCCUGUAGUCUCAACAUUUUGGGAGGCUAGGGUAGGAGAAUCACUUGAGUCCUGGAGUUUGAGACCAGCCUGGGCAACAUAGUGAGACCCCAUCUGUACUGUUUUUAUAAAUAACAAAACAAUGAAAAAAGAAACUCAAGAGUAGAGACAAGAAAUAUUAAAAAAUAAUAAUACCUGUCACUGUGAAAAAGACUUGUCACCAAGUAUCUCAUUGAAAAUUCACAACUUCCCUAGGAGGUGGGUUCUAUCACCCCAGGAAUGUGAGACUCAAACAGAUUGCCAAUGUCAGGCAGCUGGCAGAUGGCAGAGCUGAAAUUCAAAUCCAGGCAAUCCAACCCUAAAAUGCCUGUUCUAAUUGUAAUGCUGAACUACCCCUGUCCUAACAGGGAAGGUAAAUAGGCAGAAAAUAUACAGCUUUUCAAAGGAUCAUGAUUACAAGGACAGAAGAACAGUCUAGAACUCACAUUACUUUAACCAUUAACCUCACAGCUACCAUUUUUGAGUGCUU